UGGCCCUCAAAUGACAAAAAGAACUGCUCCUGCCCAGGUCCACAACUGUGUGGCCCUUAAACAACAAAAAAACUGCUACUGCCCAGGUCCAGAGCUGUGUGGCCCUCAAACUAAAAACUGCUCCUGGCAAGGUCCACAGCUGUGUGGCCCUCAAACUACAAAAAGAACUACUCCUGCCCACGUGCACAGCUGUGCAGCCCUCAAAGAACAAAAAGAACUGCUUCUGCUUAGAUCCACA